AUACAUGGGUGCUUGGAAAUACCAGAUUUAUUUCUCGUGUUGAACACGAUAUCUCACACGAAAUAAAUCUGGUAUUUCCGCGCACCCAUGUAU